AACAAAAAACACCAACAACAUCAACAAAGUAGUUUUGUAAAGCAAAUUACUAAAAAUGGAGUGGGCUGUUAAGAGUCUUUAAUUAUCUCUUUGACUACACUGGGACAAUUAAUUUUACACUCCCUGAACACAUGUGUGAGAGCACCUUUUGUUCUCAGGAGGCAAAGCAGAAGCAAGUGCUAAAGAGCUGCAGGUGCCCUGGGCCGGGGCUUGGCCCACCUGCUUGGAGUCUCUCGGGGCAGAGGAGUUGGAGUAAUAGUGGUAAAGAAAAGGAGAAAGAAGGCAAAACACUUGAAAGAAAAUUUCUGUUGGGAGGAAUGCAAUUAUAGUGGAAUGAGAAGGCAUUCAGGAAAAAGAAAUGUAUAAAAUCCAGCGUCUCAGGAGAAAUAUUUGCAAAGGUGAAAAUGUGCAUAAUGGUUUCCUUGACAUGACAAUGAAGAACCUAUACAAAAAGUGACCAGAGGCUGCAAGUAAUUGGAGAUUGAUUAAUACCUGGGAUGACGAAACAUAUGAAAAAUUACCACCUGAAAUGCGAUCAGUCCACAUAUGGAAAUUCAGCGUGUGGUGCUGGGAGCAACGUGCGGUGUGAUCCAGCUGGCGGGGAUGGUCCCUCAUGCAAUGAACCAGGUGGAAUCUCCAUUCCCAGGGAUCUGAUUCAGUCAUGGUAUUUGUGUUCCCUGUUUCUGGGGACAUUUAACACUUUUGUACGAGAAAGGUUUAUCAACUCCAAAGCAAUCAGAAGAAAGGUUUUUUUCAUUUAUUACCAGCACUGCCUUGAUAUACUUUUCCCCCUUUUGCUUUCAUUCCAGUGAUUGAAAUGAACCAAAUCUGAAUUAAUUGUCAAGUUUUGAGAGAUUUAGGUUAAUUGUUUUCAAAGCAGUGUCAGAGGAAAAUGUUUAGCUGUAGCAAUCGCUUUGUUGCUGUGUGGUGGUUGUCUUAGAAACUUCCCCAAGACGAAACUUUCACACAGAUGAAGGAUCUUGGUUUCUGAAGAGCUCCAUAAAAGGAAAGAUCACAGGUGUCAUCUUUAAACUCUUCUCAUCUAGCAUCACUUUACAAUGAAUUUUUUUUAAAGGUUAUUUUCUUUUGGAUAUCUCCUUUGUACACCAGGCCUGAUCUGAAGCAUUAUUUUUCGGUCAGCAGAAAGAUUUCUCCUGAUUUCAGGGGGACUCGUUCUCCACAGGCAAGACAAGGCCUCAGGGUCUCCCCUGUGAGCACUGUGGCCAUCAGGCUGGGGGCUCUCAUCUCCGGCCCCACCAGCCACUGCACUGCCUUGGCACACGCUGAAUGAUGCUCCCUCAUCUCCUCUGACCUUUCCUCUGCUUUGGAGGAAGCCUCUCUUUUGCAGUUUCUGUCACCAAGCCAACGCUUUUGGUCUUUCCACCUUCUAGUAUUUCAUCUUUCUGAAAUCUCAUCAGGAAAACAAACAAAAAAACAAUAAUAAUAAUAAUAAAAAAAAACAUUUUCAGGUAACUAUUAUACAAAAGAAAAAAGGAAGAUAUUAACUAUAUUAAUUUUUUUUAGCUUCUCUACUAAUAAAAUUGCAUUGUAAUGUUGUUUAAAGUCAAUGGAG